CUACGUGCCAGCAGCCGCGGUAAUACGUAGGUGGCAAGCGUUGUCCGGAAUUAUUGGGCGUAAAGCGCGCGCAGGCGGAUAGGUCAGUCUGUCUUAAAAGUUCGGGGCUUAACCCCGUGAUGGGAUGGAAACUGCCAAUCUAGAGUAUCGGAGAGGAAAGUGGAAUUCCUAGUGUAGCGGUGAAAUGCGUAGAUAUUAGGAAGAACACCAGUGGCGAAGGCGACUUUCUGGACUGUAACUGACGCUGAGGCUCGAAAGCCAGGGGAGCGAACGGGAUUAGAUACCCCGGUAGUCCUGGCCGUAAACGAUGAAUGCUAGGUGUAGGGGGUAUCGACCCCUCCUGUGCCGGAGUUAACGCAAUAAGCAUUCCGCCUGGGGAGUACGGUCGCAAGACUGAAACUCAAAGGAAUUGACGGGGGCCCGCACAAGCGGUGGAGUAUGUGGUUUAAUUCGACGCAACGCGAAGAACCUUAUCAGGGCUUGACAUUGAGUGACAGACUUAGAGACAAGUCAUU
rnacentral:rRNA from 1 species